rnacentral:lncRNA from 7 species
GUGGUACUCCUAUGUGGCCUCCGUUUCCGUAGAGCUAGCGUAGCAGUCGAGAUCAUUAUGGUUGGUGAAUUUGUCUUGUACAUACAGGCCAAGUAUCAUAUCAUGCAUAAUCGAUCGAUCUGUGGAACCUUUGGCCGUGUGUUAAGAACGAAAGUUACUAUAGGAUUCUAGCCUCUAUAAAAAUAGACGGCGCACGCUGCUAUUAUAAAUU